rnacentral:rRNA from 1 species
UAGGGAAUCUUCGGCAAUGGACGGAAGUCUGACCGAGCAACGCCGCGUGAGUGAAGAAGGUUUUCGGAUCGUAAAGCUCUUUUGUUAGAGAAGAACGUUGGUAGGAGUGGAAAAUCUACCAAGUGACGGUAACUAACCAGAAAGGGACGGCUAACUACGUGCCAGCAGCCGCGGUAAUACGUAGGUCCCGAGCGUUGUCCGGAUUUAUUGGGCGUAAAGCGAGCGCAGGCGGUUCUUUAAGUCUGAAGUUAAAGGCAGUGGCUUAACCAUUGUACGCUUUGGAAACUGGAGGACUUGAGUGCAGAAGGGGAGAGUGGAAUUCCAUGUGUAGCGGUGAAAUGCGUAGAUAUAUGGAGGAACACCGGUGGCGAAAGCGGCUCUCUGGUCUGUAAAUGACGCUGAGGCUCGAAAGCGUGGGGAGCAAACAGG